AGUGGUAUACGAGAAAUUGCGUAUACGAGAAAGGAACAUGAAAUCAUAACAGAGGGUACAUGCAGACGGGCAGAUGGACGGACAUCUUGAUCACUAAAUACCUUCCCAUUUUUCAAGCGGGAUUAUAAAUGCUAACACAUACGUACAGAUGCAUUGUAUCAUUUUUUGUAGACCUAGAAACAAACAGAUGAACAAAACUAUGGAAGCAAAGACAUGGCUAUAUUGAAUUUUUCUCUCUAACAUUUUAAAAACAGAUACCGAUGUACCUCUAUCAGGCCUGCAUACUCUUUCUCUUAUUGGGACAUGCUUGGGUAAUAGGCCUCCUUAAAUGCGGAAACACAUUUCUGAUUGGUUUUAAAAAAUGCCCUAAAGAGACAACCUCAACACAAGAGUCUCAGAACAACAGCCUGGAGUCUCAAAUCAGGUCUCAAAACAACACAGUAGGGUCUCAUGACAACGCUACAGGGUCUCCUAGCAACGAACAAGGGUCUCCUAGAAACAUACAAGUGUCUCUUGACAACGCGCAAGAGUCGGAUGAAGCUAUCGUAAUAGCUAUCGUAUGUACAGUAGUUGGUAUAACUCUUUUCGUGGUUGGACGUUUUUUAGCAUACCGUAGAAGACACAUAUACUUCGAAGGAGGGAGGUUAAAAUGCCAAAUGUGCCUAUCAAACGGAGAUAACGCAGUGAAUGAAAAUGUUGUGAUGGAGUCCCAACUACCUAUUAUGGCUAAUACAUAACAUGUAAAAUGCACUGCAGGGGAAAAAUCACUACAAAGAGUGCAAUCUGUUUUCAGUUGGAUAAUGGACUCCGUAGAGGAUUUUAUUGGACUUCAUGCAAAUUUGACAUCAUUAUCUACGAAAUAAAAAUCUGGUGCUAAGCAAAUCUCCAAAACUUUUUUCAGCAGAGAAACCAAUAUGACAUGCCAAUUUUAUGCGUUGUAAAAUUUUAUAUAGUUACUGUAUUUCAUGCAGAAAGAGUUCUAAACUUCCUUUUAUCACAAAGAGCUAUAUAAAGCUUUUUUUUCGUUAAAAUACUUUUUGGGCAUUUAAAUAUUAUCCGUCUAAUAGUAAAUUUAAAGAAAAAUGUUUGUAA